rnacentral:lncRNA from 1 species
UUAAAAACAUCAAUUUAGUAGUGUCCAUAUACAUAAAUAUCUAUGUGAAAGGGAUUACUAAUGAUACUUCUACAGAUAUAGUAUUGCUAUACAUACCAUAGGUGUGGAAACCAGGGCUUAGGUGGUUAAGUGAGUUUAGAUUUUUUUCCUGUCUCUUCUGAAAUGUGUUGGAAUGCGAAGCCUCCCCCUGAAACAGUGAACUGAUCAGACCUCUAUUGGCUAGGUUUUCUAGGUAUAUGCCCAAAGUGCUUGAAGAGCUUCAAAUUAGUGGCCACUCCUGAAAAUCUUACCUUUCAGUUUCUCUGUAGGAGGACACUUGACAAAAACACUUGCCAAAAACAAGGAUUAACUGGUACGCCAACCCUGAGCACUCCAAUACAUCACUUAUCCCCCUCUGUGCUGGAUAGCCUGUGCAUGUGUCUGAGGCAGUAUGAAAGCAGCACGCAGGAAAAAAUAAGCUAGGCAUUGCUUUGUGUGUCUUCAGACAGCAGAGACCCCUUUCUGACCUAUUCAAUGUAAAACAUUGUUCUUGCACUCUAUUUUUGAAAUCCUUCAUCAUGCCUUUCACCAUCCCCAUUGUAUUUUUACAAAGAAAUGUGUUUCCUUCCACAAGGUUUUGAUACCCGGUGCAAGAACACCCACCUGUUCUCUGCGUUCAUUUCUGCUGUGCUGCCACAACCUGCUGAUUGCAGAGGGAGCAUUUUGCUUCCAUUAUAGUUUAAAUAAAAUGAUAGGCUGGCUGCAGAGGGAAUCCAUUAGCCUUAAGCAGUCUAGUCACCGUUAAUUACAGUUUUUUAGACCUCGGAAGCUGGGUCAAAAUUCUCUGUUUUUCAGUUGAAAGCAUGCCAUUUAAACUUUAUUUUCUGUGCACCAUUCAUUCACCAUCUGCUGCUCAAAACUCAGUAGUGACUCUUCAGUGGAAAAUUCUUCCCACUUUCCAGUUUAAGCAGAGAUCAAACUUUUGCUUCCAUGAAGUUUUGACUGAGAACAAGGACAGGAGAAGGGAAAAAAAAGUUAGUGUAUUAUCAUAAAAUCAAGGUACUUUGUAAUAUAUAUGUAUAUAUUUUUUUAAGAACAGUUGAGCAUGAUUUCCUAUGUAACUUACCUGAUACAUGCGCUUUUUCCACUUUGUGCUAAAGCAUUUGGAUUGUAUAAAUUUUAAGAUUGCUGUGGUAAUGGUUUGUGACAGGAGUGGAAAAACUGAUCUGUGACUCUUCAAAAGCCUCUUGGAAGGUUUGAAUUUGGAGGAAGGAUGGUAAAAAGGGAGUAUGUACAGUGCCUUUUGUGUGUGUGUAUGUGAGGAAAUGGCCUUUAAACACUCUGCUCAGCUUUUUGACAUCUGCAAGAUUAAUAAGCAACGUUCGGUAGCAAGUUCAGAUUUCUGAUUCCCUACUUUAUCUUGCUUUUAUUACAGUACCUUUUAAUUUGACAAGAUUCACUUUAAGGGAAGGUCAAUUAAUUAAUGUCUUGGCAUUGAAUAUUGACAAUAUAAAUUGUUGAGGCAAAAAAUCUGUUGAGAUUGUAUGGUCAUACUGUAAUGUGGGGAAGGAAUCCUUAGCAUACAUUUAUUUUUAAAGCAGCUGAAAGACAUACUUGCAUACUAUCAACAUCUUCUCAAGUGCAUUUAUUCCAGUACACCCACAUAAAAAGUAGGGAGAGAUCUUAUUUAAAAACCAUUACAAAGACAUAACUAUUGAAUUCGGGUUGCCAGAGAGAUCAUUUAAGAAGGAAAACGAUGGUCUCUCAACAAUAAGAUAAUGCCAUGGGGAUGGAUGAUUAUCAUGAGAUAAUUUUAUUCCUGAGUAUUGUAAAUCUCAGCUGCUUUCCCUUCCAACCCCAGCACCUUGGGGUAUGAGAGCUUAUCAUAAUCUAUUCUCUGCUGUGCAUCCAAGCCAAAACAUUAGAGUAUAAGCUAUCACUUCAAAACGCAUCUUGUUUCCUUGGACCUCACUGGUGG